GCUUGCUUCUUUGCUGACGAGUGGCGGACGGGUGAGUAAUGUCUGGGAAACUGCCUGAUGGAGGGGGAUAACUACUGGAAACGGUAGCUAAUACCGCAUAACGUCGCAAGACCAAAGAGGGGGACCUUCGGGCCUCUUGCCAUCGGAUGUGCCCAGAUGGGAUUAGCUUGUUGGUGGGGUAACGGCUCACCAAGGCGACGAUCCCUAGCUGGUCUGAGAGGAUGACCAGCCACACUGGAACUGAGACACGGUCCAGACUCCUACGGGAGGCAGCAGUGGGGAAUAUUGCACAAUGGGCGCAAGCCUGAUGCAGCCAUGCCGCGUGUAUGAAGAAGGCCUUCGGGUUGUAAAGUACUUUCAGCGGGGAGGAAGGGAGUAAAGUUAAUACCUUUGCUCAUUGACGUUACCCGCAGAAGAAGCACCGGCUAACUCCGUGCCAGCAGCCGCGGUAAUACGGAGGGUGCAAGCGUUAAUCGGAAUUACUGGGCGUAAAGCGCACGCAGGCGGUUUGUUAAGUCAGAUGUGAAAUCCCCGGGCUCAACCUGGGAACUGCAUCUGAUACUGGCAAGCUUGAGUCUCGUAGAGGGGGGUAGAAUUCCAGGUGUAGCGGUGAAAUGCGUAGAGAUCUGGAGGAAUACCGGUGGCGAAGGCGGGCCCCUGGACGAAGACUGA
rnacentral:rRNA from 1 species